ACGCUGGCGGCACGCCUAACACAUGCAAGUCGAACGAAGUAGCAAUACUUAGUGGCAGACGGGUGAGUAACAUGUGGGUAUCUGCCCUUUGGCCUGGAAUAACACGAGGAAACUUGUGCUAAUACCGGAUAAGUCUUUACGGAGAAAGCUUUAUGCACCAUUGGAUGAGCCUGCACUUGAUUAGUUUGUUGGUGGGGUAAUGGCCUACCAAGACUGUGAUCAAUAGCUGAUUUGAGAGGAUGAUCAGCCACAUUGGGACUGAGACACGGCCCAAACUCCUACGGGAGGCAGCAGUGGGGAAUCUUGCACAAUGGAGGAAACUCUGAUGCAGCGAUGCCGCGUGAGUGAAGAAGGCCCUUGGGUUGUAAAGCUCUUUCGUCGGGGAAGAAAAUGACUGUACCCGAAUAAGAAGGUCCGGCUAACUUCGUGCCAGCAGCCGCGGUAAUACGAAGGGACCUAGCGUAGUUCGGAAUUACUGGGCUUAAAGAGUUCGUAGGUGGUUGAAAAAGUUAGUGGUGAAAUCCCAGAGCUUAACUCUGGAACUGCCAUUAAAACUUUUCAGCUAGAGUAUGAUAGAGGAAAGCAGAAUUUCUAGUGUAGAGGUGAAAUCCGUAGAUAUUAGAAAGAAUACCAAUUGCGAAGGCAGCUUUCUGGAUCAUUACUGACACUGAGGAACGAAAGCAUGGGUAGCGAAGAGGAUUAGAUACCCUCGUAGUCCAUGCCGUAAACGAUGUGUGUUAGACGUUGGAAAUUUAUUUUCAGUGUCGCAGCGAAAGCGAUAAACACACCGCCUGGGGAGUACGACCGCAAGGUUAAAACUCAAAUGAAUUGACGGGGACCCGCACAAGUAGUGGAGCAUGUGGUUUAAUUCGAAGAUACGCGCAGAACCUUACCAACACUUGACAUGUUCGUCGCGACUUUAAGAGAUUAAAGUUUUCGGUUCGGCCGGACGAAACACAGGUGCUGCAUGGCUGUCGUCAGCUCGUGUCGUGAGAUGUUGGGUUAAGUCCCGCAACGAGCGCAACCCUCACUUUUAGUUGCCAUCAUUAAGUUGGGCACUCUGAAAGAACCGCCAGUGAUAAGCUGGAGGAAGGUGGGGAUGACGUCAAGUCCUCAUGGCCCUUACGUGUUGGGCUACACACGUGCUACAAUGGUAUCUACAACAGGAAGCAAGACUGCGAGGUCAAGCAAAUCCUUAAAAGAUACCUCAGUUCGGAUUGCACUCUGCAACUCGAGUGCAUGAAGCUGGAAUUACUAGUAAUCGUGGAUCAGCGUGCCACGGUGAAUGCGUUCCCGGGUCUUGUACACACCGCCCGUCACACCAUGGGAGUUGGUUCUACCUUAAGGCAAGGUUUCAAACCCUUGACCACGGUAUAGUCAGCGACUGGGGUG
rnacentral:rRNA from 1 species